CCCAUCCCUACCCCCUCUCCUUCUCGCCUGACUCAGCCGACAGCAGGAUGGGAAUGAAGGGCGCCCCACCAGCGUCCUCCAAUUUCCCGCUAUUCAGCUCAGACCUGAGUAGCAGCAGGCAGCCGAAAGGAUUUGCAGGUCAGCAGCCACUUGGCUCUGGAAGCAGCUGCAGAUGUGUGGCCACACCAGCACCAGGGGACCCUAUUGUGCAUCUAUGCUGGGCUGGAAGACUGCAAAACCACUUGGCAGAAGACAUAAAUGAGAAAUCCUGUACCAAGUAAGGAUGAAAAGAAGAAUUGGAAACAAGUAUGCAAUCGGCCACCAACUAUCGAAUGGAAGCAAUAAAAAAGAACUCAACCAGGGCCGGGGAUUUAGCCCAAUGGUUCUGCCGCCUGCCUUGCAAGUGCAAGGAUCCAAGUUCGAUCCCUGGUACCAAAAAAAAAUUGUUUGUGCAAAAAGAACUCAACCCUACCCAUGCUCAUGCCUACACACUCUCGCACACCUUCCCUCUCUCUCCCUCAGAGGGACUCAGUUCCAAGGUGUGAAUACACCAAGUCUGCCCUCCUCAGGGCUGCCGUGCAUGUCAGAUGAGAAGAUGCAGGGAUGGUGCCUGCAGACGUGAACACACUCCACGCAUGUGGAUGAAGUAUCACUUGACCCCAAUUCUUCUCUCAGGGAGAAGGAAGCUCCUGCUGGGUCCUGAAGCUUCUUAGUUUUCUAGUUAGUUUCCUUUUGUUCCUCUCCAAAGCUCUGCUUACCCAGGAGAAUAAUGUCAACACUUAUGAUGCCAUUUUAAUCAUCCCAGGGGCAUUGAUCAUUAUUAUGAAUCCCAAAAUAGCUGAGCUAUUCAUGUUUGACAGUGCGAUCAUGCAGGGCUAUACAUCAUGGAACCUUCAAUGGAGGAUAUGCCUUGGUUUUCCAUGCACCUUCUCAUCUGUCGUCUCACAGAGAGGAGGUAUUCUCCCGAUUAUAGGGGUCCAAAACCAGGGGCCAAGGUGGGUCUGAUCACUCACCAGCUGGAGGACUGUGCUGGAAGGAUGGGCGCAGGUCCCUUCUCUGUUUCAGCAUGAGAUUUGCACACUGAGGGAAGUGUACGGCACCCCACACACACACACACUGUGGGCUCCAUCUUUUCUCCCUAGCAUUGAGGUUUAAGGUUCCCACCUCCUUCCCAGCCCUGUUUCCUGGUCCCACCACCUCCUCCCCUGGGUCUUGCUCAACAAUGACCUUUUGGCAUCUCUGCCUCUCCCUCUGCACAGCUUCCACCUUGCCUCCCUGACAGGUGUGUUCAUGCCCCGACCACAUACCACCUGCUCCAGACGGAUGCCCUCUCUGUUGCCCUCCCUGGCUCAGAUGCUCCUGAAAGCAGAGUCCGGGAUCCAGGCCUAGGGACAGGCACAAACUUAAGUAUCUACAUGGGUUGAAUUGUGUCCUCCCCAAGGCUAUGCUCAAGGUCUAACCUCUCAUUCCUGUGGAUGGAUCUUACUUAGGAAGAGGACCAAGUCCAGAGGAGCUCCCAUAGUGCUUCAGUGGGCUCUAACCCACUGAUGGACUUCCUUAAAAGAAGGAAGAUUUGGACCCAGAAACACUUCGGGAGACCACAAAGGCCUCAUAUUGGAGUAAUGUAUCUAUAAGCCCAAGCAUAAAAAGGAUUGCCAGCAUCACCUGGAAGCCAGUAGAGAGGUCUGGCCCUGACUCUCCCAAGAGCCUUCGGAGGGAACCACCCCUGCCAACACCUUGACUUUGGACUUUACCCUCCAGAACUG
rnacentral:lncRNA from 1 species